GACGAACGCUGGCGGCGUGCUUAACACAUGCAAGUCGAACGGUAAGGCCCUUCGGGGUACACGAGUGGCGAACGGGUGAGUAACACGUGGGUGAUCUGCCCUGCACUUCGGGAUAAGCCUGGGAAACUGGGUCUAAUACCGGAUAGGACCACUGCCUGCAUGGGUGGUGGUGGAAAGCUUUUGCGGUGUGGGAUGGGCCCGCGGCCUAUCAGCUUGUUGGUGGGGUGAUGGCCUACCAAGGCGACGACGGGUAGCCGGCCGGAGAGGGUGACCGGCCACACUGGGACGGAGAUACGGCCCAGACUCCUACGGGAGGCAGCAGUGGGGAAUAUUGCACAAUGGGCGCAAGCCUGAUGCAGCGACGCCGCGUGAGGGAUGACGGCCUUCGGGUUGUAAACCUCUUUCAGCACCGACGAAGCGCAAGUGACGGUAGGUGCAGAAGAAGGACCGGCCAACUACGUGCCAGCAGCCGCGGUAA
rnacentral:rRNA from 1 species